CCGUAAGGCUAGGGGUGCUCCGCCGUGUACCGGGCGGGGCUGAGACACACCCUUCGAACCUGAACCGGCUAAUACCGGCGUAGGGAAGCCAGUCACAGGGCCG
rnacentral:ncRNA from 2 species